CACGUAGGGGGCAAGCGUUGUCCGGAUUUAUUGGGCGUAAAGAGCUCGUAGGCGGCUCAGUAAGUCGGGUGUGAAACCUCCAGGCUCAACCUGGAGACGCCACCUGAUACUGCUGUGGCUAGAGUCCGGUAGGGGAGCGUGGAAUUCCUGGUGUAGCGGUGAAAUGCGCAGAUAUCAGGAGGAACACCGGUGGCGAAGGCGGUUCUCUGGGCAUUACCUGACGCUGAGGAGCGAAAGCAUGGGGAGCGAACAGG
rnacentral:rRNA from 1 species